UCUCCUUCCAUCCCAAGGCCCCAGGUUAUCACCAGGCUUGGGGUAAGAAAACCUUCCCAAGCUGAGUUUGGCAGGUUCACAGCUUUCCUUCACUUAGUCUGAAAAAUAAGGAGACACCUCUUGGUGAAGUACAAGGAGACAGGGUAGAAUAUUCAAUUCCUCUUGGAGGAAAGUGGUUUCCUCCUUGGUCUCUGAUAAAUCAGUUGUUCUGAGGUAAUCUUGUGCUGCAGGGCUGAUCUGGGACUUUGCUGCCUGUGAAUUGAGUUCUGCCUCCUCUAGAACAGCCCAGAUGAGAAAGGAUUUUGUACCACGGUGGAACAGAGACCCUCCAGUGCCUCCUUCCAUGCCCAGGGCCCCACCCUAUCACCAGGUUUGUGGUAAGAAAACUUUUCUGAGCUGAAUUUGGCAGCUUUCUUUCACUUACUCCGAAAUACAGAGCCACAAGAGUUGCUGGGUUCAUCCCUCACCCAAACCAUGUCCUGCUGUCAGGGAGACUCCAGGAUUCAGAUCUGGCCAGACAGUCAGACUUGCUGAGCACAGAGCUCUGCCCAGCAGCACCCUGUGGUGUUUUUCCCUAGGAAAUGUUGAUUUAACUCUCUCAGGAAUCAUCACUCCUCAGGGCAGUGCUGCUUUGAAGUGGUUACCAGCCUGGUGAGCAGUAAGUGCAGGGCGUGGUGUCUAUCUGCGAGGCAAGGGUGGCAUUCUGUUUCCUGGGGACAGAAGCUUUAAUAAAGGGAGUUUCCCUCCUUGCAGUGGGCAGGUGUGAGGCAGCUGCUCUUCUGGGGAGCCAGGUGAGAUGCAAAAUUUGGUGCAAAAAACACACUGGAAUGCUGCUUUUUGUUAAGGCCACUUCACACUUGUCCAGUGGCACAAAGCUUAAGGGUCCAAGUCAGCAGGACACAGCACUGAGUGAUUUAAGAAGUUUCUGCUCCUGUUCAGGACUGAAUCAGACCUGCAGACCCAGCUCUGGUUUGUAGGGGAUCUAGAGUGAUGCUCACCUUGAUCCCAAAAGGGUUAAUUCAGUUUCUGCUGUGCCUGUAGACUUUUAGCAGGGAAACAAGGCAAGUAAAAGCGGGUAAGAGCCUGGAUCUCUGGACUCUGCAGAGGCAGUGGCAGGAAAACACCUCACGUGUGGGCUGGAGUGUGGAGCAGGGGUAACUCCAUGGGUCAGGGUUUGCACUGGAAGCAUUUUCCUGGCUAUUUUUUCCCCAGCUUUGCCCCACCAGCUUUGUAUGUGGUAAAACAGCUGCCACCAGAGGCAGAGCUCCAGCUCAUCCCAGUUGCAAAACACCUGGUGAGGUGUGAGAGAUGCUCCCUGCUCGUGCUGCAGCCGGUGCUUACUCAUCCCACGGGGUGCAGAGCUGGUCCCUGGGCAUUUGUGUUGGCAGCUCUGCUGGAACACCUUCCCUUUUGGCAGUAGUUAUGUAAGGAGCUAAAAAUGCUGGGGUGACUCACGGGUGUCUGAGCAGAGCUGUUGGAACAGGAAUGGAGCAGUGAGUUCCCCCAGCCACGGCUGCACAGCAGGCCCUGCAGCCUCUCCCUCCUUGGUGCUGCCCCUGCUGAAGACCCUCUUGCUCCAGGGGAUUGUCUUCCCUCUUACUCCCCAUUCCUGCCCCCCAAACGAUGUUGGAGCCCCUACAAAGCUCGUCACUUGUGCCUCUGAUCUCUCCAGCAGCCUUCACUGGGGCCAUCCCAAGCCCCUCUUAUCUCUAGACCUUCUGCAUCCCAUCUCCCUUUGUUAUCUUUUCUGCCUUUCCAUUCUCCUGCUCUCUUCCCAAGGAAAGCUUCAGGCCAGAAGCACCUGGAGUUAAGGGAGGAUGGAUCCAGGUUAUUUUCCUUCUUCACAAUUUUUUGCUAUAUCUGCUUGUGGGUACCUUGGUGUUUUAUUCCUCCAUCUGAUGCCUCAGGAAGGCUGACCUAGAACAGAGACUAGUCUGAGCUAAAGACUAAAGCAGGGAUUUAUUAAAAGGAUCUCCUCCAUGGAUCCACCUUGGGCAGCACAAGAGCCCAGCCAGGGCUGCACCCAGGAUGAACCCAAAUGGCCCCAAAAUGCACGAGCGCUGCCGGGGUCUCUCCCUGGGAUCAGCUCUGCUCCAUGUGCACAUUGCAGUUCAUUGUCCAAUUCCAGCCCCAGCCCCUGCAGUCCCAUCCUGCUUGUUUUUCUCUCUCCAGCCCAUGGGGUUUGUGCUCUUGGGCUGAGAUUUGGAUCAUUUGUCCUUGGUCCCCAGCUGGAGCAGGAAUUGUUUUGUCUCCCUGCUCUGUGCAGAGAGCUCACCAUCCCCUCAUGUGAAGCUCAGACCCACACACUAAAGCAGCACAGAAUCUGAAAAAUAGAAAAUCUGAAACCUGAGGCAUCACAUCCUUCCCAACCUGACCUAAUCCAUGCUGGGGUGUCCCUCUCCAAAGGAGACUCAGGGAGCACCUCGGAUCUUCUUCCAUGAGUGAUUUUCCUGAUCUGGGCUGAUAUUUGAGUUCUUGAUCAGAUCCGAGUGACGUCUCCGCCAAAGAGACAAAUUUGUACUUUUGUGGGCUUGUUGUGCCACCUCAGAGGUUUUGUCCCACUGUCUCCAAAGGGAUGUGAUUUUUCCAUAAAUGAUGAAGACUCAUAAUUGUAUUUCCCUGAAGUCUUCAGCCCAUUGUGCUUCACAAACCUGGACUCCACAUCUACAUGUUCCAAGGCUGUAGCCAGGUGGGGUUCAGCCUCUUUCCCCAGACACCUGGUGAAUAAACAAGGAGAAACAGCUCCAUGGGAGGUUCAGGUCGGAUAUUGGGAAAACGUCAUCCACUGAAAGAGUGUUUAAAUAUUGGCUGCCCAGGGCUGCUGAGGUCACCAGUCCUGGAAGUGUUCAAAAACCAAGCAGAAGUGGCACUUGGAGAUGUGGUUCAGUGGGCACAGGAGUAUUUGGUCAAAGGUUGGAUUUGGAGGUCUUGGAAUUCUUUUCCAACCUUUCUCUGAUGACUCAGAUCAAAGGUUGGAUUUGGAGGUCUUGGAAUUCUUUUCCAAACUCUCUCUGAUGACUCAGAUCAAAGGUUGGAUUUGGAGGUCUUGGAAUUCUUUUCCAAACUCUCUCUGAUGACUCAUAUCUCCUAUGACAUAACCCACAGUUCCAGUGAUGCCAUUGUCACAAACAGAAAUGAACUGAGGAGCAGGAUUGGUCCCUGUGCUGCUGUUGCCUCUCUGAGUGCCUUGGUUGCUGUACAGAGAUGCCCAUUCCAACAAAAUGGAAAUCUCUGCUCCCCUCAUCCCCCAUGGGGCCAGGAGGUGGAAAAGUCCCUGUGUAUCAGCUCUCUGGAGGUGCCUGUGGUGCUGCAGCAGAGGCUCACAGGACCGAGGAGUCAGCUGUGGCACUGUGGAACUCUGUCCUGUUCUCCUCAGCUCCAGCAAUGCUCAUGCAGCUCUUUCCACAUCAAAAUUCUUCCACGCUCAAGAAAAACAGUCAACCAUUAACCAAAAGACCCCUAAAUAAUGGAUAAAAUGAAGGAUGACUGGGGUACUAUUCAAA